rnacentral:rRNA from 1 species
AAUAGAUACCCAGGUAGUCCAUGCCGUAAACGUUGGGCGCUAGAUGUGGGGACCAUUCCACGGUUUCCGUGUCGCAGCUAACGCAUUAAGCGCCCCGCCUGGGGAGUACGGCCGCAAGGCUAAAACUCAAAGGAAUUGACGGGGGCCCGCACAAGCGGCGGAGCAUGCGGAUUAAUUCGAUGCAACGCGAAGAACCUUACCAAGGCCUGACAUAUACGAGAACGCUCUAGAAAUAGAGAACUCUUUGGGCACUCGUAUACAGGUGGUGCAUGGUUGUCGUCAGCUCGUGUCGUGAGAUGUUGGGUUAAGUCCCGCAACGAGCGCAACCCUCGUUCUAUGUUGCCAGCGGUUCGGCCGGGAACUCAUAGGAGACUGCCGGGGUCAACUCGGAGGAAGGUGGGGAUGACGUCAAAUCAUCAUGCCCCUUAUGUCUUGGGCUUCACGCAUGCUACAAUGGCCGGUACAAAGGGCUGCAAUACCGUAAGGUGGAGCGAAUCCCAAAAAGCCGGUCUCAGUUCGGAUUGAGGUCUGC